CAGCAGUGUAUGGAGCCGUGGCUCAGCUUGGAAUGAGCUUGUAAUAAUGAGUCACUUUCCUCUCCACAUUUAAACUGUGAGGUAGAAACCCCUUCUUAACCAGACCUGAGAAGACCCAUCGGACAGGCUCAGACUUGGGUAACUGAUCCCCAGUUCCUCCGUGCUCUCUCCUCACUGCCCACACUUUCUUUUAUCAAGAGUUUAAUGCUUAUUAACAUGAAAACAACACAAAGAAAUAAAGUUAUAUAUUUA